AUAAACUGACGAAAGUAUUCAGGUAUUUAAUUUAAUCUGCUUUGGCGUGCAUAUUUUGGAAAACCAUAGAGCCGAAUUGUAGGAGCCGUUAUUAAACACUAAUACUGACCAAUGUACCAGGUACGCCUGUAGUGAUCUGUCUGUCUCUUGUUUUACCUACACACGUGAACACUUACCCAGUCUUGCAGGACGAAUAAUAAUGGACGUUGAUUAUAAUAUUUCUAAAUACUGAACCAUCGACGAUCAUCACAUCCUGAACACGAAUCUACACAGGACUCAUCCACAAACACGUUAAAGAUACACAGAAAGCGAGUAGUAGGUUCGAUACACAAAUAUAUACGAUACUUUGAUGUAUUCAUCAUGCUGAUACAAGUUGGUGCAUAACACUUAUACACGUUGGAAAUACACAGAAGGCGAGUGUGAAGUAUUCAUCAUGCUGAUACAAAUUGAUGCAUAGCACUUAUACACGUUGGAAAUACACAGAAGGCCAGUGUGAAGUUCUAUACCGAAACUGAUGAAAUAUACUGAUGCAAGGUGGUGCAAAACACAUCGGAAACCGAAAUACAUAAGAAAAAAUUUGAUGUAUUUAUCAUACUGAUACAAAUUGGUGCAUAACACUUGCAAAGUUCUACACCGAAAUACAUAAGAAACUUUUAAUAUAUUCAUCAUGGUGAUGCAAAUUGGUGCAAAACACUUAUGAUCAUUGGAAAUACACAGAAGGCGAGUGUGAUGUAUUCAUCAUGCUGAUACAAGUUGGUGCAUAACACUUAUACACGUUGGAAAUACAGAGAAGGCGAGUGUGAUGUAUUCAUCAUGCUGAUACAAAUUGGUGCAUAACACUUAUACACGUUGAAAAUACACAGGCCAAGUGUGUAAUGCUAUACCGAAACUGAUGAAAUAUACUGAUGCAAAGUGGUGCAAAACAAAUCGGAAACCGAAAUACAUGAGACAUUUGAUGUAUUCAUCAUGCUGAUACAAAUCGGUGUAUAACACGUAUUAUACGUUGGAAAUACACAGAAGGCGAGUAACACUUAUGUAACACGUGUAACACAUAAACACGUUGGAAGUACACAGAAGGCGGUUUCAAAGUUCUACACCGAUAUACAUAAGAAACUUUUAAUAUAUUCAUCAUGGUGAUGCAAAUUGGUGCAUAACACUUAUGAUCAUUGGAAAUACACAGAAGGCGAGUGUGAUGUAUUCAUCAUGCUGAUACAAAUUGGUGCGUAACACUUAAAUACUUCACAUUUGAAGUAUACAUCAUUCUGAUUCGAAUUGGCGCAUUUGUUACGAAACUAUAAUAAAUAUAUUUUGAUACUAACUUUA